rnacentral:miRNA from 14 species
UGGGCUGUGUCCACAGGCCGGCAGGUUUGAGCAUUUUGAUUGAAUUGUCAAACCAGGCGUGCCUGUGGACACAGC